UACGUAGGGACCAAGCGUUGUUCGGAUUUACUGGGCGUAAAGGGCGCGUAGGCGGCAAUUCAAGUCAUCUGUGAAAUCUCCGGGCUUAACUCGGAACGGUCAGAUGAUACUGCUUUGCUAGAGUGCGGAAGGGGCAACUGGAAUUCUCGGUGUAGCGGUGAAAUGCGUAGAUAUCGAGAGGAACACCUGCGGCGAAGGCGGGUUGCUGGGCUGACACUGACGCUGAAGCGCGAAAGCUAGGGGAGCGAACGGG
rnacentral:rRNA from 1 species